rnacentral:tRNA from 1 species
GUGUCUGUAGCUCAAUUGGUAGAGCGCUUCUCUGUGGCAGAAGUGGUUGCGGGUUCAAGUCCCGUCAGACACC